GUUUCCCAGUUUAUCACGAGGAACAUCCGGUGUUAAACUUCAACGUUUCUUGGUUUAAAUUGUGGAAUUGCAAGUGGUGCUGAACCAUGUAGCCAAGAUAUGCACUACCACUACUCAUGGGAUUUUGCCCAGCAAGUCCACUAUCCACAUCAUGCCAACAAGUUGGGCCGAUAUAUUUCGCCACCCCACAGAAAUGUCAUGUGUUUCGCAUGUGUGCCUUAGGUUCAGCUAUGUUUUUAUGGAAAGUAGACAUUUUAUCUGGUGGACGAGGCCGAAUUGCCGGGGAAAGGAAGUGACAGUGUCGUGAGCCUGGCCCACCACUACUUUCAGCACUAUGGUGUCGGUGAAAAACAUGCUGAGGUUUAUUUCGAUAAUGCUGUCGGCCAAAACAAGAACAAUGCUGUGCUUUGGUAUGCCAUGUGACCUGUAAUGACAGGAUUGCAUGAGAGUGUAACACUAAACACUAUGUUGGCUGGGCACACCAAAUUUGCUCCUGACUGUCACUUCGGCAACUGGAAGGUCCAGUGGCGAUGUUGUAAUGCCGAGAAUCUUCAAGAAAUUGCCCACACUGUUUUCACCUCUUCAAAGUCCGGCCACAACAUCCCACACUUGGUUUAUGACCCUCAACAGCCAAUCACAGUUCACAGUUGGAUAUCAUUCCUAGAUACAUAUUUCAAAACUCUAAAGAAUAUUACCAAAUACCACCAUUUCUAUGUAUCAAAACAUAAACCAGGAGUUUAGUAUGCAAAGAGUUUGUA